UACGGAGGGUGCAAGCGUUAUCCGGAUUCACUGGGUUUAAAGGGAGCGUAGGCGGUCCGACAAGUCAGGGGUGAAAUCCUGCAGCUUAACUGCAGAAGUGCCUUUGAUACUGUCGGUCUUGAGGGAGAUAGGGGUGUGCGGAACUCACAGUGGAGCGGUGAAAUGCGUUGAUAUUGUGAGGAACGCCGGAGGCGAAAGCGGCGCACUGGAUCUCUACUGACGCUGAGGCGCGAAAGCUAGGGGAGCAAACGGG
rnacentral:rRNA from 1 species